AUGGGGUGGCGGGAGGUGAAGCCGGAGGCGCCACCAGUGUGCGAGCAGCCCCUUCUCUUUCCUUUCUGGAACCUGCAGCCACCCGCCCACCAGGAGUUCGGGGGGACGACAGGCUUGGGACAGGCCCUGCCCAGCCCCUGCCCCAUACACACCGUGCAUCCUGAUGGCGCCCCAGCCAGUCACCCAGCACUGGUGCUCCGGGGUGACCUCACGCUGGGCCUACAAGAGCCUGACCGGCUUGACGUCAGCAGUGCUCUCCACAGAGUCCGACAGCCGGAGCAGGGCGAUGUCCACGCCCAGACUGGCGUCGAUGUAGCUGGCAAGGACGACAACACGGCUCACGUCCAGCAGCCUCCUGCCCCUGGAGAGAUACACGUCCCCCGCAUGGAUGCGGUGUGCUCCUGGCUGGAAUGGAAUUUCCGGUCGAAAGGGACCCUGAAACUUGGCAGGAGGCAGGAAGCAGCGGGCAAGGUAAGGCACCCCCACGUCUCUUGCUGGGAGGGGCUGCGAGCUAAAAGGACGGCCAUGCGUGUGCGUCUUCCUCGUGUGCCAGUCCCCUGGGUGCCCACGACGGGCUGGCCACCACCCCUUGAACCUUUCCCCCCCCGGACCCAACACCAGAGCACAGAAGGGCCGAGAGCGCCUGCUGUGCGGCCGCAAGUGAGAGUUCAAACAAGUAGGAAGAGGCAGGUGGCGGAGGGACCGGCAGGCAGGGGCCCUUCGGAACCACGGGAGCCAGUGACCCACACAGCAUCUACGUGAGAAAACCUAUUUAUUUGAGAGAGAGAGACCCAGGUGCACUGGUGCUGGGGGAGGGGAGAGGGACAAGCAGACUCCCUGCUGAGCAGGGAGCCCGAUGCGGGACUCGAUCCCAGGACCUCGGGAUGAUGACCUGAGCCGAAGGCAGACGCUUCACCGACUCAACCACACAAGCGCCUGCACGUGAGGAACUUUGUAACUUUUUAAGGGGAUUUGUUGGUCCCAAGCCUGAUGCUCAGUGACUCAGCUGCACGGAGGGGCCACCCAGUCUUGUUCUGUGUGUAGAGAUGUGCGGGACAGGCAGAGCCGUGGACGUAGAAAGUGGAUCUGAGGUUGUCAGGGGCCGGGAGGGGAAACGGGAGAGCCGGCUCUGCUCACGGGCUUCUGUCCGGACGGGAAGCGACGAGACCGCCCGCUGCCCCGGGAGCUGGAUCUGGACAACGGGAGGCUCCUCUCCCCCUCCCCUGUCCUUGGGAUGUGGGUUCCACUGGCCUUUUCACUCCCAGAUGCUGCUCCAAGGACACAGCCCUGAGAUAGGGAGGUGGUGCUGGGAACACCUGCAUGGGGACUGAGCCCAGGGAAGGCCUCUCCCGACACCACCUCUCAGGCCCUGGCCGGCGGGUACAGGGACACAAGUUUCCACUGCUUAGGAACCCUGCCACCUACCCCCGUGGAGUGGCCUGCCUCUUCCUUCAGUCUCUGCCGGCCUUCCAAGUGUGCGGCCGGUUUCAGAUGACACCCGGAGGCUCCCGAGGGGCCCGUGUGCACACGGAGGAGGGCUCCCGGGUCCCUCUGCACUUGGCAGGACCUUUGCUGCAGGCCCUGGCGAGAUUCCUCCUUACCGAAUCUAUGAAGUCCCCCUCGGCCCAAGUUUGCUGAGAGUUUUAUCACAAGCGGUGGUUGAAUUUAUCAGCCAAAAGAAUCAAACGGGUUUCCCUUAUCUGUUGAGAUUACUACCAGGUUGUUCAUCUUGCUCUGUGAAGGUGGCCGGUUGUACCAGUAG
ensembl:lncRNA